CCAGAUCCAGUACCGGCCCUUCUUUCCCCUGACCGCCACUCUGGGCCUGGCCGGCUUCACCCUGCUCCUCAGUCUCCUGGCCUUUGCCAUGUACCGCCCGUAGUGCCUCCGCGGGCGCUUGGCAGCGUCGCCGGCCCCUCCGGACCUUGCUCCCCGCGCCGCGGCGGGAGCUGCUGCCUGCCCAGGCCCGCCUCUCCGGCCUGCCUCUUCCCGCCGCCCUGGAGCCCAGCCCUGCGCCGCAGAGGACUCCCGGGACUGGCGGAGGCCCCGCCCUGCGACCGCCGGGGCUCGGGGCCACCUCCCGGGGCUGCUGACCCUCAGCCCGCACUGGGAGUGGGCUCCUCGGGGUCGGGCAUCUGCUGUCGCUGCCUCGGCCCCGGGCAGAGCCGGGCCGCCCCGGGGGCCCGUCUUAGUGUUCUGCCGGAGGACCCAGCCGCCUCCAAUCCCUGACAGCUCCUUGGGCUGAGUUGGGGACGCCAGGUCGGUGGGAGGCUGGUGAAGGGGAGCGGGGAGGGGCAGAGGAGUUCCCCGGAACCCGUGCAGAUUAAAGUAACUGUGAAGUUUUC
rnacentral:lncRNA from 10 species